rnacentral:rRNA from 1 species
AUGGCUGAGAUUGUGCUUCUUCUAGUAAUUGAAAAGAUCGGAGUAGCCUUGGCAAAUGGAGCAGCACAUCAGGCUAGUGCACAUUUUUCCAGGUACGCGGCCCGACUAAUAGAGCUACAAGGCAGCAUGGGUCGCGUUGUUAGGGAGCUUCGCAUAAUUCAUGAUGUUCUAUGUCAAAUGGACAUUCGAAACCGCCACAAUCAAGUGUAUGAGGGCUGGUUGGAUGAGGUGCGGAAGGUAGCACAUGCGAUGGAGGAUAUGGUUGAUGAGUACAUGUAUCAAGUUGGUCGGGAACAUGAUACUGGGUGUUGCUUUUACCUGAAGAAAGGGCUUAGAAAACCAAGAUCUCUGCUUUCCUUGAAUCAGAUAUCUUCCAAAGUGAAGGAAAUAGAGAAAGACCUUGCACACCUGUCAGAGAUGAAAAACCGAUGGGUUCCCAUGAUAAACAAUGCAGAUACUAGCAGCUUGAAUUACAUGAUCAAGAAGUCUCAAGAUCUAGCAAACACCUCACGUUCCCUUGAUAACGAAGAUCUAGUUGGGGUGGAUGAAAACAGAAGAAAGCUUGAGCAGUGGUUGGGAAGUGAUGAUGUGGAAUGUUCCCUGAUUACACUGACAGGAAUGGGUGGGCUUGGCAAAACAGCUUUAGCUUCAAAUGUCUAUAGGAAAGAGAGAGAGAAAUUUCAGUGCCAUGCAUGGGUCUCCAUCUCUCAAACUUAUUCUAGAGAAGAUGUCUUGAGAAAUAUAAUCAAGGAACUAUUCAAAGAUACAGCCAGUGGUCCAUCAAACAUUGCAGCUAUGGACAUCACAAGCCUUCAAGAGACAUUGAAGAGAUAUCUAGGGGAAAUGAAGUAUUUGAUCAUAUUAGAUGAUGUUUGGACCCCAGAUGCAUUUGAAGACUUGUCUAGGUCACUUGUUUGUAAUGGUAAGGGAAGCAGAUUGAUAAUCACAACACGACAGGGUGAUGUUGCUGCACUUGCUUCUCAAGGACACGUAUUAACACUAGAACCUUUACCAGAAGAUAAGGCUUGGGAUCUUUUUUGUAAGAAAUCUUUUCCAAAAGAAACAAGCCAUCACUGUCCUGGCGAGUUGAGGCUUUUGUCCGAGGAAAUACUUAGCAAGUGCAAAGGAUUGCCUCUUGCUAUUGUGUCAAUUGGCAGCCUCUUGCAUGUGCGUGAGAAAACCGUUGAAGAAUGGAAAAGAAUAAAUGACCAAUUGAGUUGGGAGAUACUUAAUAACUCAAGGCUCGACCACAUAAGGAAUGUGUUGCAUCUAAGCUUCAUCUACCUUCCAACAUACUUGAAAAGUUGUUUCCUGUACUGCAGCUUAUUUCCAGAAGACUAUCUUUUCCACAGAAGAAAACUUGUACGACUAUGGAUGGCGGAGGGGUUCAUUGUCGAGAAGGGUGCCAGCACAUUAGAAGAAGUGGCAGAAAGCUAUGUUAAGGAGUUGGUCAAUAGAAACAUGCUUCAACUUGUUGGAAGGAACUCACUUGGCAGGAUGAAGAGAUUCAGAAUGCACGAUAUCAUACGUGAACUAGCUGUUGAUUUGUGCCAGAAGGAUCGUUUUGGUGUUAUAUAUGAGGAGGAUAAAUGUGGGGGAUCUCUUCAGAGAGAUGGUCGUCGAUUGGUAGUGCACAAACUAAAGAAGGAUAUUCAACAACCAUUUUCAAUUAUACAUGUACUUCGAACUUUCAUUACACUGGAGAAAAGCAUGUCCUCAUUCCCUCUAUUGCCUCUACUAUCUGAGAAGUCAAGAUAUAUGACUGUGCUAGAAUUAAGUGGUUUACCCAUCGAGAAGAUUCCAGAUGCCAUUGGGGAUCUUUUUAAUCUCCGCUAUUUGGGUUUGCGGUACUCAAAAGUGAAGCUUCUCCCUAAAUCUAUUGAGAAGCUUUCAAAUUUGUUGACACUGGACCUUUGUGGAUCUGACAUACAUGAGCUGCCUCCAGGGAUUGGCAAGCUAAAUAAGCUUAGGCACCUAUUUGCUGAGAAAAACAUUAUAUCAGGACGAAUACAAAAUAUUCGAUAUGCUAGAGGUGUAUGCUUCCCUAUUGGGCUUGGGAACCUAACAAACCUGCAGACUCUGCAAGCCUUGGAAGUGCAGGAAGUGGAUGGAUCCAUUAGACAACUAAGGGAGUUAAGGCAACUAAGAAGCUUGAGGAUAUGGGUCGUGAAGGGAACAUUUUGUGAACACCUCUGCGAGUCUCUAGUUCUUAUGCAAUUCUUGUCCAACCUAAAUGUGAGUGCGAGUGAUGAGAAUGAGGUUCUGUUGUUGAACGCCCUCCCGCCUAGCCUGCAAAAGCUAAGUUUGGGCGGAAGAUUACCGGAAGGGGCAUUGUUGGCGGAGUCUCCUCUCUUUCAAGCCAUGGAGCAGAACUUGUGUUCACUGCGUUUAUCCUGGUCGCAGCUGAGAGAAGAUCCUUUGCCAUCCCUUUCUCGGUUGCCAAAUUUGAUGGAUCUAUGUCUCGACAAAGCGUACAAUGGAGAGAAGUUGGAGUUUCUCACGGGGUGGUUUCCCAAGCUGAAGAGCCUCUAUUUGUGGGACAUGCCCGACCUGAAGAUGCUAGAGAUACAUCAAGGUGCCGUGACAGCUCUAGAAACACUAGUACUAGGCAACCUAGAAAGCAUGGUGGAGGUCCCGCCUGGCCUUGAGUUCCUCAUGCCCCUCCAGCUUCUAAGUUUCCGGGAAAUCACCCGUGACUUCGUGACGUUGCUGCGCCAAAGUCCUCAACUUGUUGGUUUGCAAUGGCAGCACACUCUCCGUGACAACGACCAGUGA